UACGUAGGGGGGCAAGCGUUGUCCGGAAUUAUUGGGCGUAAAGCGCGCGCAGGCGGCCUCGCGCGCCCGACGUGAAAGCCCCCGGCUUAACCGGGGAGGGUCGUUUGGGGACGGCGGGGCUUGAGGGCGGGAGAGGUCGGUGGAAUUCCCGGUGUAGUGGUGAAAUGCGUAGAUAUCGCUUGGAACGCCGACGGCGAAAGCAGUCUGCUGGGGGUGUGCUGACGCUGAGACACGAAAGCCAGGGGAGCGAACGGG
rnacentral:rRNA from 1 species